GCCUGGGCGAUUUUUACGGUCUAACUUCAAGAUAAAACCCUCAUCCGUUUGACAUGUAAAUGUCAUAGCUUCUUUUUGUAUAGUUUGGCCAAGGGGAAAGCAAAUUUUCAAAACGCAAUUGGCCAGGCAGCGCCGGGCAGAUGGGGAUUUUUGGCAGGACCUUUACUCGGCUCUAAAAAAGUAGCGUAGGACCAGAAAGAACGGUUGAGGACCCGCCGGUCUCCUGACAACUUUACGAACAGCAAGGUAAAGCCGGCUGAAGUUCUCUGACUUGGUAACUUUUGUGGACAAAACUGCACUGCAGAAAAGUUGUCCACAAAUUGCAUGGGAAGCAACACACUGGAUACCAAUUCAGUUAAAAUGACACAAUAUCUAUGGACUAUGACCGGAAAUCCCAGCGAAGAUGAGUCUGACUGUAUGGAGAAAAAGUGAUGAUUUGUUUAUACAGACCAGGGAGGAAACACGCGCCUGUCACUUUUUGUCAUGUGUCACGGAACUACCUCAUAGACCCUCUUCAUGAAAAGAGUAUGUGCUCUUUUCAUGAUUCUGCAUUGUUCUGUAUAUUUGUUUAUUUGAUAAUAUAGGAAUACAUGUAUGUAUAUGAGUAUGUGUGUUAUAUUUGCUACUGUGAAUAAAAUGUGUUUCACGCGCAGCAUUUUGAUGGCGAUAAUUGACUUACAAGUAUAUUUUGCACGAUUAAACAUAUCACUAAUGUGUUCUACUAAGUUAAUAACUGCGUAUAAUGUAAAAAUGCCAAUUUAGUUGAUUCUAGCUUUUCAUUGGCCUAUCUGUAAUCUUGGUGAUGUUGUAGGCCUUUCAUAAAAAUAUAAGAAAGUUGUAAACGA